UACAGAGGUCCCAAGCGUUGUUCGGAUUCACUGGGCGUAAAGGGUGCGUAGGUGGCCAGGUAAGUCGGAUGUGAAAUCUCGGAGCUCAACUCCGAAACUGCAUUGGAAACUGCUUGGCUAGAGGGUUGGAGGGGGGACUGGAAUACUUGGUGUAGCAGUGAAAUGCGUAGAUAUCAAGUGGAACACCAGUGGCGAAGGCGAGUCCCUGGACAACUCCUGACACUGAGGCACGAAAGCUAGGGGAGCAAACAGG
rnacentral:rRNA from 1 species